AGUACUCGAGUGGCGAACGGGUGAGUAACACGUGGGUAAUCUGCCCUGCACUCUGGGAUAAGCCUGGGAAACUGGGUCUAAUACCGGAUAGGAGCCAUUUUUAGUGUGAUGGUUGGAAAGUUUUUCGGUGUAGGAUGAGCUCGCGGCCUAUCAGCUUGUUGGUGGGGUAAUGGCCUACCAAGGCGGCGACGGGUAGCCGGCCUGAGAGGGUGUACGGCCACAUUGGGACUGAGAUACGGCCCAG
rnacentral:rRNA from 1 species